UACGGAGGGUGCAAGCGUUGUCCGGAAUCACUGGGCGUAAAGGGCGCGUAGGCGGCUCAUGAAGGCUGUGGUGAAAGUCCGGGGCUCAACCUCGGAUCGGCCGUGGCGACUCGUGGGCUGGAGCACUGUAGAGGCGGGUGGAAUUCCGGGUGUAGCGGUGGAAUGCGUAGAGAUCCGGAAGAACACCAGUGGCGAAGGGCGGCC
rnacentral:rRNA from 1 species